ACUUCCGCCCAAAAAGGCAAAAACGAGGAAGAAACCAAAGAAGCUAAAGUGGAAGAACGGAGAGAAAUGGAAUACACUUGUAGGGUGGCAGUUAUUUCAAGAACCCUGUCUUGAGUUCUUAGAAAUAAUCUGUGAAUCACAUGUGUUGCGCAACAUUUUCCCUGAAAAGGAAAAGUUUUCCCUUCGGUUGCUAUGUUGAUGAAAAUCCAUUGGAUGCAC